UCUUAAUUGGAGGAUAGUAUGAAAGGUAAGACAGAUAGAAUCAGGUUUUUAAUCUAAAUUUUUAACUUAACUAAUCGGUUAAAAUCCCGAUUAUCUAUUUAGGGACGAGAAGACCCUAUAAAGUUUAACUUUACAAACCUAUUAAUAGGGAUAAAAAGUUUUGUUGGGGCAACACAAUAAGAUAGAAUCUUAUUGUUAUGAUCUUUUAUUAAAUUUUUUGAGCUACUAUUAGUACUAAUAGAAUAAAUUACCUUAGGGAUAACAGCACAAUUAAGACUUCUAAGUUCAAAUUUACAGUCUUGAUUAUGACCUCGAUGUUG
rnacentral:rRNA from 1 species